UACGUAGGGGGCAAGCGUUGUCCGGAUUUAUUGGGCGUAAAGCGCGUGUAGGCGGCCAGGUAGGUCCGCUGUGAAAACUCGAGGCUCAACCUCGAGACGUCGGCGGAAACCAUCUGGCUAGAGUCCGGAAGAGGAGAAUGGAAUUCCCGGUGUAGCGGUGAAAUGCGCAGAUAUCGGGAAGAACACCCGUGGCGAAGGCGGUUCUCUGGGACGGUACUGACGCUGAGACGCGAAAGCGUGGGGAGCGAACAGG
rnacentral:rRNA from 1 species